rnacentral:lncRNA from 10 species
GAUUCCGUUGGAAGGUGUGAAUCCUGUGAGGUUUCUUUGGUGCGUAUUAUUCCUGUUGCUCACGGCCAAGGAGGUUCAGAGACACAGUGGUUAAGGGACCAGCCUAUUUUGUGGAAGGGGCAGUGGCAGGAUUGGACUGGAAAUUGGGGUCUGGACAUGCUCUGCACCAGGGUUAUUUAAGGAUGUGCUUUGAUACCAAUGACAUGGAUUUCCUUGAGCUCCAGUUUGAUAGAAUCCUCAGCACCGCGGAUCAUCGGGGAGAUACAAAUCAAAACCACAACGAGCUGUCCCCUGGCCCCUGUUCGACUGGCUUUCACCAAA